rnacentral:miRNA from 1 species
UUAACGAAAAAGGACUAACGAC